AUAUGGUCAAUUUUCUAAUAACUAUAUAUGAUGUCAGAUGAGUAUGAGAUUUAUGGAGAUGAUCAUUUAGUAAGUUAUAUAAUGUCUAAUCACUAGGGUAUACACCUGAAACUAAUAUGAUAUUGU